GCCAGGCGGCGGCGUUUCCUCUGAGUUGCGACUCUUGCGGCUGCUAUCCCGCCGAGGGACGCUACGGUUAUCUGGUUCUUGCAGCUUCAACACGAACUCUGAAAUCGGAAGAAAAUUUCUUUUAGUGUGUUUCGUUCUUCAUUAACUGUCGUAUCUCUAACGGAGGGUUCGUGAAUUGAUUUUUUUCUGUCGAAAAUUGUAAACCUCUUUAUGCAAAAGCCUUGGAAGGCGAUUUACCAAAAAAAAAAAAGAUUAUCGACUGAUGCACUCGAAAAAAAUCAAUUUACGAACGUGCCAUACAAUUUAAUCUAUAGGUAAUUUAAAAAAGAAACUCGAACGCAAAACGUUAUAUUCAAUAUACAUUCGAAUCUGGACAAUUAGUUUAAUUUUACUAGUAUGAUUUAAGCGCAAUCAUAUUUACCUAUCGUGUUGAUCGUAAUGACAAUCGGUUCCGACGCGAUUUUGGUCCAGGGAACCCGGAUGGCCAGCUCGUGGAUGUGUCCGGACAGAAAUUGGAACGGCAAUGCCAGCUCCUCCUCCAGCACAUCUAGCUUCAGGUCCAGGUUCUGAAACACCACUUCGCCACCCCACAGGGACACCUGCGAGUCUUCCGGUCGGAUGUUCUUAACAUAUUUCUCCACGUAGCUCAGAAUUAUUGGCGUUAUGUAGGAUUCGAUUUUGAACAUUUUCAAUGCCUUUCGAGGUUGCAACGCGUCAAUCUCUAUACAAUCAUUAGCCGCACAUAACGGAAUCUAGAAUUUGCUAAAUUGUUUUCUUUUUUACGCCCGAACUGUUUAUCACUAUUUUCCAACUUCUCCGAUCUUAUCAGCCUAGCUACUUCUUCGAAAAUAUCUCAUUGAUAAGGAAACACGUCUGACGAGUCACACACGCUCAUUUUUUUCUAACCAUUUUCGAGUUUUUUUCAACCGUUUUCUGAUUUUCCUUCGGAAACUUCGAAAAUUGUUAUUUUUCAAACGGAAUGAAUUGUUAAAUUUCAAGCGUUUUCAGAGUUUCAGUGGAAAACCAUAAUAAUGGUUAAAAAAUGUUCCGUUCCGCCAUUGUUCAUUUUUUCAAAUCGACUUGGAAGAUUAUACUCCGGUUUUCUUUCUAUUCAUUUGGUGCAAAUUGUGUUCAGAUGCCGACGUGUUUUGCACGAAAACUUGAAAGGAUUGUUUUAGAAUAACGAGCACAAAAAAAGAAACUAUUUGGAACCAAAAAUCAAAGAGAAUCUCAUACAUGAUGGGAGAUAACAUACAUCCGGUGUUUCCGAUGGCUCAAACUGCUUCUUACGAAACACUUUCUCCUUCCGAAAAAAAUGAUCCGCUACUUAAGAAAAUGGAAAGAUUCAUGGAGUAUUUCGUGCUGGAAGUUGUGCUCCAACUUAGUUCUUGGCCUCCAAAGAACAAUCACUACCAGUGAAACCAGCCUUGAUGGACUGUGACCGAAUAUUAUGGGUGCUUCUUUUUUUAAUAUCAAUUCCAUUGGCACGUAAUCUGGGUACAUAUUAUGACAAAUUAUAAUAAUUUAUGUUUGAUUUCAAUAAAUACCUUAAAAAUAUCCGU